UUAUGUUUUACUUGUGUUAUUUGAACUCCUUUUAUAUAUAAUAUAUGCUGCUUGUUGUGCUAACAUGAAAUAAUUAUGGACAUAAAUUGAAUGUGCUUCUUUAUUGCUAGUACUCUUAUUGCAAACACAGCAACGAACAUGGUAGAAUACAUAAAUGACACAAUUAAUAUAAAGGCAAUCAAACAUGGCCAUAAUAGACUAUGCACAAAUAAAUUAA
rnacentral:lncRNA from 1 species